CCCUUACGGCGGUCAGUUAGGACUUCUGCCGGUUGUCAUUCUAAUCCCUACAGGUUGCCACGUUCUGUGGUAGCAGAGCAGUCAAAUAAUAGUGAAGAAAGGUAGGAUUUGUGUUUUUGUUUGUCAUUGGGGCAAUGACAAGAAUUCUAGGGGGUGGAUUGUAACAAGGUAGCAAGAAAGAAGGGCGGGGGAAUGUGAAAGCGAUCUCUAAUCCCAGUACAGAUUGAUAAUAAGCCGCACUUAUUUAAAGGACAGGCGAAGGCGCAGGGCAGCUGGGGUCCUGUUAGCAUUUGCCUGUUGCUCAGCUUGUGGCCGUGUGGGAUCGGGAGUCCCCGUGUAUCUUUCUAUGUAUGAGACGAAUGUGAUAGUUUGAAGCUCAGGACCAUCGUGUAUAUGAUUUUUGCUCUGCUAAGAAUGUGGGUGUUUGAUGUUCUGGACCGUCAUGUGUCUGGUUGGUUUCGCCCUGUUAAGGUUGCUGUGGUUUGAAGUGUGCAGUGUAAUUACUCCUCCCUGUGGUAAUCUUUACUAUUCCUUGCCCGUUGAUGUAUACCCGCUGACGGUGGCUACCCUUGUGGGCUGUUUCCGGUCCGGGUGGAUGACCCAAUUUAUUUUAAUACUUUGUUAAAUAAAGUAUAAUGUAUUUUUCUACUA